rnacentral:sRNA from 1 species
CUUUAAAAAUCUGGAUCAAGCUGAAAAUUGAAACACUGAACAACGAAAGUUGUUCGUGAGUCUCUCAAAUUUUCGCAACACUGAAUGAAACAUCUUCGG